CCUCAGCAGCUAGUGAAUCACCAGCCACCCUGCCUUGGAAAAGGAUCUUGAUUUAUUCCCCCUCUCCAAAUUCUCUGAAGACUGAAGUUCCUUAAGGACUAAGAAAACACUUGCCUCUCUUCCAGUGACUUUUCCUGGCCCCGGGAGCCAGCUGGGCCAACUGACGUCAGGACACCGGUGGCCUGCGAGCGGCGUGCUGAAUCACCCCCGCCCCGAGUGGACGCCCCAGCCUCUACCUGCGUGUUGCUUUGUCCUUCACAGGUCAGGGCGUUGGUUUUCUUUUUAAAUAAAUAAAGCUGAACCUGACUCACAACUCAAGAGAGACUGCCGCUCCGCUCAGCGUCACCAUGGUAACUGCUCCAUCCAUGGAACACUUGAAAAUCUUAACACUCAAUCAAGA